GAGGGUCUUGCCCCCGCUCACAGUAGCCAGUAAGCACAGGAGAACCACGCUUGACACCAACAUGAUUUCGGAGGUGAGCCUGAAGGAGCAAUGGAGAACAUUUGGAACUGUGGUGUAUGCCAGAAACCUUCUGAAUCAUCACACAAACACGCUGUAACGGCAUCUGUUACUCACCUCUCAGAGCUCCCAAAAACUUCUGCAGCCUCUCGGAUCUGUCGGCUUCCCCUGAC